CCUACGGGAGGCAGCAGUGAGGAAUAUUGGUCAAUGGGAGAGAUCCUGAACCAGCCAAGCCGCGUGAGGGAAGACGGCCCUAUGGGUUGUAAACCUCUUUUGUCGGAGAACAAAACCCGGGACGUGUCCCGUACUUCGUGUAUCCGAAGAAAAAGCAUCGGCUACCUCCGUGCCAGCAGCCGCGGUAAUACGGGGGAUUCGAGCGUUAUCCUGAUUUAUUGGGUUUAAAGGGUGCGUAGGCGGUCCGUUAAGUCAGCGGUAAAAUUGCGGGGCUCAACCCCGUCGAGCCGUUGAAACUGGCAGACUUGAGUUGGCGAGAGGUACGCGGAAUGCGCGGUGUAGCGGUGAAAUGCAUAGAUAUCGCGCAGAACUCCGAGUGCGAAGGCAGCGUACUGGCGCCAGACUGACGCUGAGGCACGAAAGCGUGGGGAUCGAACAGGAUUAGAUACCCUAGUAGUC
rnacentral:rRNA from 1 species